rnacentral:SRP_RNA from 1 species
GCCGGGCGUGGUGGCUCACGCCUGUAAUCCCAACACUUUGGGAGGCCGAGGCGGGCGGAUCACCAGAGGUCGGGAGUUCUGGACCAGCCUAACUAACACGGUGAAACCCCGUCUCUA